rnacentral:tRNA from 1 species
AGGAACGGGAGGGAUU